AGCCAUGAGACCCAGGGCGUCACCCACCUGGGCUCCCUCACCCUGGACGGGGACAGCCUCUACGUCAGUGAUUACACCUAUGGAGCCGCAGCCCCGACUAUCACCAGCUUGCUCAUCCCUCUACUCACACAGUCACCCGUCCCCUCACUCUCAUUUAUGCUUCACCUGUGAAUGGUGGUCCUGGGACAGCCACUGCUGGAGCCCGGGUGAGCCUGGGGGCUCCUCCCACUCUGUCCCUCCCUGAGACAGCCCUCGCCACAGCUCCCGAGCCGGCCACCACGUCCCUGCAUACUUCAUCAUCACCUGUGCCACCAGAAGCCACCACAGGCCUGAAAAGGAUGGGGAAGCCAGCAGUGUGGACGCCGUCUGCACCUACCAUCCUGACCCCGUGGGCCACCAUGCCUCUGUGCUGGGAGCGGAGAGUCUCCACCUGUCUGCUUUUCCUCUCGGUGGCUCCAGGCUCUGCAGCCCAGAGUUUAUCCAUCCAGAGAGAGCACCAGCUACAUUUCCACAUCAUCAGCUGGAACCUCAGCAACCCGGAGCCCACAUCCUCGGAGUACACCGCCCUGGUGAGGGACACCCAGGACCAGGUCGGUCCCCCAUGGUAACCACACUGCAGUGGACUCACUGUGUACCCAGCCGCCUUGGCACAGAGACUGGAUAGAGUUGCCAUCUAUGAGGAAUUCCUGCGGCUGACCUGAAGGGUACCCAGCUGCAGAACUUGACCCUGGACGGAAAGAAUGUCCUUGUGGAUGAAUAUUCUCCCAACAGAGAUGACACCUUGACUGAGAAGCAUGGUAAACCUGCAG